rnacentral:lncRNA from 11 species
UGAUGCUCUAUGGGAGGAUACCUCAGCCAACUGACACAAGAGCGAGCCAUCAAAGAAAGCCCAGAGGAGCAGCGGCAGAGGCAGACAGACACACUGCAUAUAACCGGAAGUAUGAAACCUUGUGGCUUUCAAGAUACGGGAUUUCUCGAAAAUACGAUUUGCAGCAGAAGACAGAAAAAUGAUAAGAAAAAUUGCAUCUGCCACUGCCAAUCUAGACGUUUCCCAAUGAAACCUUCCCCGGAAAUGGUCAUUUCUCUAUUGAACUGUGCACAUAAGUUACCUACCUCGCUAAUUACUUCAAAAUUACCUUGCAAAUUACUUCAAAAAUAUUUCAAAAGGAAAUAUAAUAUAAAGGAAGUUAGCCCCCAAACAAUCCUGGUAUUCAUUAGCAGUCUCCUUUCCAAGUACUAACCAGGGUUGACACUGUUUAGCCUCAACGAUCAGACAAAAUCUGCUACCUUUAAAAUAUUUAGGCCAGAGGUCCUAGCUCUGUC